rnacentral:rRNA from 1 species
UACAGAGGUCUCAAGCGUUGUUCGGAUUCAUUGGGCGUAAAGGGUGCGUAGGCGGCGCGGUAAGUCGGGUGUGAAAUCUUGGAGCUUAACUCCGAAACUGCAUUCGAAACUGCCGUGCUUGAGUGUGGGAGAGGUGAGUGGAAUUCCCGGUGUAGCGGUGAAAUGCGUAGAUAUCGUAAGGAAGACCAGUGGCGAAGGCGGGUCUCUGGACAGUUCCUGACGCUGAGGCACGAAGGCCAGGGGAGCAAACGGG